CCACCACCAGCACCGCACAGCCUGCCUGCUUGCCGCCUCCAUCAGAGCCUCCAUCUGUACCCAGACUGUGGAGGAGUGUGUGGGUUGAUGAGGGCAGCUGCCGGCACGGGAUGCAAUGUGAUGCUCUUCGCAAGACGAGACUGGUGUUCUGGGAAGUCGUUAUUUACUGGAAGUGAAAACGCCCAAUGUAUUCAAAGGAAUGGAUACAACAUAUGUUUUAAAUAUAUUUUCACUGGAUAAGCAGUUGUAGACUUUUUCCAAAUUGUUUUUAAAGCUGUUAAUGGCUCCUGAGUGCACAAUGAAAUAGCAGAGCUAUCAAUCAUAAGUUCUUUACAUGCAAUUUAGGAUCUUGGUACAAAAAGAGAAAAGGCCUAUGUGUGCACGUGUAUUUGUUUUUCUAUUUGCGCGUUUGCAUGUUUCUAUAUACAUGCGUAUGUUUUUAUGUGCAUGUGCAUUAGCUCCCCUCCCCCACCCUUGUGGUGAUUAUCUCUGCUCCUAAUUAAUGCUUGGCAUUGAAACAUGGUUGAGAGCCUGCUUGCUGUUUUGUGCCCUCAUUUAUAAAGCAGAGAAUUCUGUUCAUUUUGACCA